rnacentral:rRNA from 1 species
UACGUAGGGGGCAAGCGUUGUCCGGAAUCAUUGGGCGUAAAGAGCGUGUAGGCGGUCCGAUAAGUCGGCUGUGAAAGUCAAGGGCUCAACCCUUGAAUGCCGGCCGAUACUGUCGGGCUAGAGUCCGGAAGAGGAGAGUGGAAUUCCUGGUGUAGCGGUGAAAUGCGCAGAUAUCAGGAAGAACACCCGUGGCUAAGGCGGCUCUCUAGUACGGUACUGACGCUGAGACGCGAAAGCGUGGGGAGCGAACAGG